UACGUAGGGUGCAGGCGUUAAUCGGAAUUACUGGGCGUAAAGCGUGCGCAGGCGGCUCUUUAAGUCAGAUGUGAAAGCCCCCGGGCUUAACCUGGGAAUUGCGCUUGAGACUGGGCUGGCUUGAGUGCGGGGGGAGGAUGGUGGAAUUCCCAGUGUAGAGGUGAAAAUUCGUAGAUAUUGGGAAGAACACCGGUGGCGAAGGCGGCCAUCUGGACCGCAACUGACGCUGAGGCGCGAAAGCGUGGGGAGCAAACAGG
rnacentral:rRNA from 1 species